GCUGGUAACUGGACUUACAGGCAACUUCUGUUUUUUGUGCUGUAGGGAACAGUUAAAGUAGGGUUCUGCAGUUAUCUGCCUUGUCAAUAUGAUGUACAUGAUGUACAAAUACAACAUGAUGUAUUUGUACAUCAAAUAAGGCAAAACUUUUCAUUUUAGUGUCAGUUUAGUGAGGCCCUAAGACAAAAUGACAGUAGCUAAAAGUCAUCUAUUUGGCGUAAACCCAGUCGUUAAAGUGGCACUCCAGUCUUCGUUUCACCUCAUUUAACAAAGGCAAAUCGCAACAGCUGAUCCAGACCCUCCAGAAGUCUCUGAAGCUCUGAGGAAGGCGUCUGACACGCUGAAUUCAGCUGCUUUCUCAGUGGCUGUUACCUGAACUGAGGGAGGAAGAGAUAGUCGGGGAGAGCCGUCGCCGUGCCAAGGGAUGCCAGCUGUCCUAUAUCGGGAAUUCAACAGUGAUGGGGACAGCAAGGAGACUGAAAGGCCCUGAGUCUGACCUCUCCACAGCACCCAAAACACAGAAUGGACUUCCACAGCAUCCUUUGGAAUAGGCUCUAUAGAUUAGAAUAUAUUGAUCAUAUAUUGGGGAAUAGCAAUAUGCACAUCAUCACAUCUUUGUGAUACUGGAGAUGAGAUACAUCAAUGUUUACAUUGUUGUUGACUGUUCUUUUGAAACAGAGUGACUGAAAUGUUGUAAAAAACGAAACAUGUAGAGUCAUUUUUUAUCACUAUUUGUCAUAAAGCACAGUCACUGACUAGGGUAUGGGGAAAAGGAAAUGUAGAAUGUAGAACUGCAAUCACAGUUACAUCACCCAACUUUGAUGCAGUGUUAUUGAAUUUAACAUUGUUUUUGGACUGGGUCGGCAACACAUAGGCCUACAGCAAGGAGAGUUUUAGCAUGCAAUUUACUAUAUUUAUUGGAGAAUUUGAUUGAUAUGAUCAUUAUGAGAAAGCACUCAGCAUUACAAUGUGAAUGGAGAAUCUAUCAGGACUCCCUCACACUUAUUGAUCACUGUAUUCACUCACCUUAGCCUGGUCGGAACCUCUUUUGAACCUGAAUGUGUGUGAGAUGUGGUGAAGGUGCCUUCCAGGUCAUUGAAACAAUGGGUCUGGGUCUCCCUUCUCAGUGCACUGUUUGAGUGCAAAUCUCUGAAUUUGAAUACUCUUGUUAUACUGAUUGGGUCACCUAGAAUCAAUACCAGGCAUUUCCUUUGUGUCUAGUGUAGCCUGCUCCUAAAGUAACAAUCCAAGACAGUUUAUAGUCCACGGAGAAAACUGUAUAUAUAUAUAUAGGUCUAGAGUAAACUGACUAAAUAAAAAAUAUGAUAUGACAAUUGUAAAUGCUAUGUACUCAUGUUGAAACCAAAUUGAUGAAAUAAUGUAAUUUCAUUUCCAGAAAGCAGGUUUUAAUAAUCUCACUCAGGGUUAUGAGACAAUGGGGAUUGGUUUGUUGAGAUAUCUAAUCCAACUCAAUAUACAGUGGGGUAAUCUACUUUCAGAUUUUAAUUAAACUCUUGUCAGUUGAGUUA
ensembl:lncRNA